UACGUAGGGUGCGAGCGUUGUCCGGAAUUAUUGGGCGUAAAGGGCUCGUAGGCGGUCUGUCACGUCGGCUGUGAAAACCCGAGGCUCAACCUCGGGCCUGCAGUCGAUACGGGCAAACUAGAGUACUGCAGGAGAGGAACGCGGAAUUCCAGGUGUAGCGGUGAAAUGCGUAGAUAUCUGGAGGAACACCGGUGGCGAAGGCGGCGUUCUGGACUGCAACUGACACUGAGGAACGAAAGCCAGGGGAGCAAACGGG
rnacentral:rRNA from 1 species